GACGAACGCUGGCGGCGUGCCUAAUACAUGCAAGUAGAACGCACAGUUUAUACCGUAGCUUGCUACACCAUAGACUGUGAGUUGCGAACGGGUGAGUAACGCGUAGGUAACCUGCCUGGUAGCGGGGGAUAACUAUUGUAAACGAUAGCUAAUACCGCAUAAUAUUAAUUAUUGCAUGAUAAUUAAUUGAAAGGUGCAAUUGCACCACUACCAGAUGGACCUGCGUUGUAUUAGCUAGUAGGUGAGGUAACGGCUCACCUAGGCGACGAUACAUAGCCGACCUGAGAGGGGGAUCGGCCACACGGGGACGGAGACACGGCCCAGACUCCUACGGGAGGCAGCAGUAGGGAAUCUUCGGCAAUGGACGAAAGUCUGACCGAGCAACGCCGCGUGAGUGAAGAAGGUUUUCGGAUCGUAAAGCUCUGUUGUAAGAGAAGAACGGGUGUGAGAGUGGAAAGUUCACACUGUGACGGUAUCUUACCAGAAAGGGACGGCUAACUACGUG
rnacentral:rRNA from 1 species